UACGAAGGGGGGCUAGCGUUGUUCGGAAUUACUGGGCGUAAAGCGCACGUAGGCGGAUACUUAAGUCAGGGGUGAAAUCCCGGGGCUCAACCCCGGAACUGCCUUUGAUACUGGGUAUCUCGAGUCCGGAAGAGGUGAGUGGAAUUCCGAGUGUAGAGGUGAAAUUCGUAGAUAUUCGGAGGAACACCAGUGGCGAAGGCGGCUCACUGGUCCGGUAUGACGCUGAGGUGCGAAAGCGUGGGGGAGCGAACAGG
rnacentral:rRNA from 1 species